rnacentral:rRNA from 1 species
CCGAGUUAUUCAACUCAUCAACCCUGUGAACAUACCUAAACGUUGCUUCGGCGGGAACAGACGGCCCCGUGAAACGGGCCGCCCCCGCCAGAGGACCCCUAACUCUGUUUCUAUAAUGUUUCUUCUGAGUAAAACAAGCAAAUAAAUUAAAACUUUCAACAACGGAUCUCUUGGCUCUGGCAUCGAUGAAGAACGCAGCGAAAUGCGAUAAGUAAUGUGAAUUGCAGAAUUCAGUGAAUCAUCGAAUCUUUGAACGCACAUUGCGCCCGCCAGUAUUCUGGCGGGCAUGCCUGUUCGAGCGUCAUUACAACCCUCAGGCCCCCGGGCCUGGCGUUGGGGAUCGGCGGAGCCCCCCGUGGGCACACGCCGUCCCCCAAAUACAGUGGCGGUCCCGCCGCAGCUUCCAUCGCGUAGUAGCUAACACCUCGCGACUGGAGAGCGGCGCGGCCACGCCGUAAAACACCCAACUCUUCUGAAGUUGACCUCGAAUCAGGUAGGAAUACCCGCUGAACUUAAGCAUAUCAU